rnacentral:rRNA from 1 species
AUGGCUGAAGCUCUAGCCUUAAAAUUCGGCCUAUCGUUGGCGCACGGGACAGGUUGCAACCGCAUAAUUAUUAACUCAGAUAACAUGGAGGUGAUCGACACCAUGAAGGAAGGAGGACGAUCGUCGGCGGCAGCGGCUGCAAUUUUUUAUGAUUGUUUUCACUUAGUUUGUGAUUUACUUGUUUCUACAUUCGAGCACUGUAAUAGAGAAGCAAAUAAAGUUGCUCAUGAACUUGUCAAAUUGGCUAGAUUUUCUUUCAAUUCUGAAUGGUUCGAGGAGCCACAUAAUGAAAUUGUACCAAUGCUCAUAAACGAUGUAACGAUUAUUUCUAAUGAAUAA